CUUGGCAGCCACAGGCUGGGAGAGUUUUGAAAACCCUUCUAGCAGAUGCCCAGCCAUAUUUGGCCAGAGGUUUCAGUCUCUCUCUCUUUGGCCCCAACUGCAGUCCUGAUUGCCUAGGAAGAAUAUUCUUUGAAAUUUGACAUCUGCAUCUGGACAGCAUUCAGCUUGCUUGCCCUUCUGCCUUCCACCAUGUGAGGAUACAGUGUUCCUCCCCUCCGGAGGAUGCAGCAACAUAGCACCAUCUUGGAAGCAGAUGGCAGCCCUCACCAGACAACUAAACCUGCCAACACCUUGAUCUUGGACUUCUCAGCCUCCAGAACUAAAUAAAAUUUAGCUUAUGAGAAAUAAA
rnacentral:lncRNA from 1 species